rnacentral:rRNA from 1 species
UACGUAUGGUGCAAGCGUUAUCCGGAUUUACUGGGCGUAAAGGGAGCGCAGGCGGCGCGCCAAGUCUGAUGUGAAACCCCGGGGCUCAACCCCGGGCAUGCAUUGGAAACUGGCGGGCUGGAGUGCCGGAGAGGUAAGCGGAAUUCCUAGUGUAGCGGUGAAAUGCGUAGAUAUUAGGAGGAACACCAGUGGCGAAGGCGGCUUACUGGACGGCAACUGACGCUGAGGCUCGAAAGUGUGGGGAGCAAACAGG